GCUUUGCAGCAGGGGUCCUUUUAGCUAAAGGCUAAUGCUCGCUAGCUACGUGCGCAGUGUGUCAGGAGCUGAGAGACAGAUAUGGAGCAGCUGGCUUACUGAGAAUGACCCCGAAAGAUGUCAGAGAUGUCCUGACGACAGCGACGUCUGACCGCUUUGACUCCCUCCUGCAUCGCCCCAGCUCCGUGGGAUAGGACGACCCGACCGUGCGCCGAAGGCUGUCGUCUCUGAACCCGCACCAGCUCCGCGAAAAAGCCUCCUCCGACCUCGUUCUGA